rnacentral:rRNA from 14 species
CUUUGAAGCCGUUCCACUCUGAGCACACUUGAUCUCCUCUGACCUCAGAAGCUAAGCAGGGUCUGUUCCGCUUACUGCUUCGAUGG